rnacentral:sRNA from 1 species
CGCGCCGCUGCGUCACCGCCGGCCGCCGGGUCUGUGAAGUCGGCCUGACGUGGCAGUCAGCUUCGUGGGGUUUGUUCACUCGGCGACAGCGGCAGCGGCGGCCCCGCGAAGCCCGCUCGGGACCGAGGACACGGGCGGCACCCUCGUCUUCCCUUCGGCCCAGCCGGGGAGACCGACUAGCCGCGGGCCCUGCAGGGUUCCCCAGGAGCUCGCGGAAAGCUCGGAGGAACGGCGCAGCCCGUAGCGGUCGGCAGGCGGGCGAGCACGGCCUAGGGCUCCGCCACCGUGACGGCGCUUCUCCGAGCCCGCAAUGGUCUCGGUGCGAUGGACCCGAGUGGUCUUGUGUACCCGAGGCCCCUAGCUGCGCGGUGUGAUUAACUAAGACACCGCUUCCGGGGUGCAUCAGAACCUUCCAGAAAUAAAAGCAAGGCGGUCACCUGGAAUUUUAGUAAAAGCACAUACAUAAAUGGGACCGGUCAUGGAUUGUGGAGGACAGAGAAAGGAUGGUUCAGAAGGCUUCACGAAGGAAGUGGGUCUCAAGAAAGGAGGGACCCAUAGAGAUUACAGAAGAUCGGAUGGACCACAGGCUGGGUUUGGCAAGCAUGCUCUCAUCUGCUAAGUUUGGCUCUAAAGGAAACACCUGCAGCUGAGAUAAAACCGUCCUUCAUGACCAGAAGAGGCGUCCAGAUGUGCUUGCAGACAGCUGGGGUGUUUCUGUGUCUUCUGCCUUCUGAGGCCUCUCUUAAGAGCUCCCCAUACCAGGCCCCUCUGCCACUCUGCAUGUGCCCUUUUUCUUCUGUCCUCACGGUCCCUCCAAUCUAUUACUCCCUCAGUCCCAGCCAGGCAGCCGCCGACUGACGAGGCUCGGCGGUCUUCACACUAACGUGAUUGCUCAAAACACUGCUGCCCCUUCCUCACGGCUGUGUUGGUUCCUACUCACUAGGAACUGAGUUCAAUACUUUUAAGCCAAUUUUUUUUAUUUUAUUCUCUGCUGUAAUAGCCACAAACUUUAAAAAAAAAAAAGUUCAUAAGUACACAUCACAUUCUUCACUCUGCAAAGGUCAGAGACCUUACAGGAAUUAUGGAACUUCCGGGCGUAAUUCUGUGCCCCAGCAUUCCACGCUAUAAUUACCAGUUUCUUUAGCACACUUGGAUAACGCUGUGGCUUUCUCUCACAAAAGCUUUACAAUAUUGGCAAAGCUAAUCCUGGGCUUCCCCACAGCUCACUUAGCACUCAGCGCCCCAGAAGUGUCACAAUCCAUCUAUCUGCCUUCUGGUGCCCUGUGAAGAAAUACUGGCACCAAUUUUACUUCCCCAGAGGCUUGAAGGGGAGCUGAAGUAUAGAUGGUUGUAAACAGUCUAUGCCAUAUGUGAAGGAGUAGGAAGUAGACGGUUUGGUCUUCCAAUCUGUUGGUUUUGAAUAAAUUACUGUUCAGGGAAACAAGGUCUUUCAAAAUCCUGAGUUGGUAGGAAUUUUCUGUUAUAAAAGUCACACGCCUCAGCCAAUGGGUGCAGAGAGACAAACACCGGAUGACUCAUCGUUGCUGGGGGCGUGGCCUUGGGAAACACACAAUGGUGGUCAUCAGCAGAAAGCUCUUGAGUAAUAGUUGAAUAAAAAAGUAUAACUUAUUUGUGGAGAUCACUAGGAUGUUGGGUAAAAUAGAAAAUAGUCUCCUGGGUUGAGGGUCACUUAACAACGAUACACUUGCCUAGUCAGUGUAACAGUGCCCUGGGGUAGAUCCUGACACUGGGAAAAAAUAAGAGAACCCAUCCCAAGUCAAGCAUGGUGGCACACCCCUCAUUCCAGCACUCUGGCUGAGGGGAGAACACAAGCUCCAGACUGACCGUCUCAAACAAGCAAGUUGGUCUUCCAACUCAGUUAAAUGUCCUCUGACACUAACCUACUCAAUUUAGAGUGUGUAAGAUCUUACCCACCCAGAGAACUGUUAGGUCAUUGAAAAUGUUCUGACGAUGAAGGCACUAGGUACAUUGAAGGAUUUAAUGGAGUGAAGGAAAGGAAGAGGAAAUUUAAACAUUUAUGUAAUUUGUUAUAUAAAUGCAAAGAUCUAAAUAUCUAAGUUGAUCAUUCAAAUGGACUUUAUAGCAUUUACAUGUGUUGCAGUAUACAUUAAGUGGUACUUUAAAUAAUAGUUUUUUGGUUUUGAGAUUUCAUGCAUGCAGUGGAGGCCAAGAAAGAGCAUCAGAUUCCUUAGAAUUUGAGUUAAAUAACUUUUCAAAUCUCAUAAUCAAGUUGGAAGACACACAUAUAUAUGUAUGUAUGUAUAUAUACAUAUAUAUAUUUAUACACACACACCUAUACAUAUAUGUCUGUGUGUGUGCAUGUGCAUUUAUUAUAUAGAGGACUUCCCUUGGUGAUUAUAAUCCUCACGCAAAACAAUCUCCCCUCUCUAGCUCUUUAACAGCUACAGGGGAACAAAGUCUCCCAAGAAUAUUUAAAACGAAGAUCCCUAGAUGACUUCCCGGAUUUUGAUUCAGGAAGCAUGAGUUAGGGAUGGGAAUCUGCAGAAUUAAACAUCCUAGAUGAUGCUUAGAGCCUAGGCAAUGAAAUCAGGCAGUACUUUCUGGGUUGUCUGAGCCUCAGGAAAGUCCCUUUCUCACUAGGUGGACAGGCAUACAGGUGUUAUCUCUCCAGGAGAGCCACUUCACUGCUUUAGGGGGAAGUUAUAGGGGGAGCCUAAUAACUCCCUUACUAAAGGGCAGGGCCAGAAGCACCACCUGCUUUGUGUACUAAGGGUUCAAAAGGGCUGGGGCACUUGUCCAAUAUGUGGAAGGUCCUACACUUGGCUGAUGCCAAAGGAAAACGGGAUUUAAAGAAGAGAACAACAAAAGCCAGGCAUGGUAGCACACACAUUUAGUUCUACAACCCAGAAGGAGAGGCAAGCAGGCCUCUGAGUUUGAGGACAUCCUAGUCUAUAUAGUUCCAAGGCCAGGCAGGGCUAUAUACUUAGACCAUGUCUCAAAAAGGUGUAAGCUCAGUUUACAUAAUGAUUUCUCUUCAUUUGCAUAAAAUUAGAACUGAGUUAUGAGAUCUGGCUGAAAGCAGUCAAGGGUGGUGGCUGUCCCAACUUGUGGCCCAGCUGCAGAGAAGCUGAGGCAGGAAGAUCUGUUGAGCCCGGAAAUCCAAGAUCAGCUGAGUGACAUUAAGAGACGCCCCCAACUCAAAAGGUUUUUUUUUUUAAACUUUUUAUUAAAUGGACCUAACAUAACCAAUGAAACAGUAGUGUGUGUGUGUGUGUGUGUGUGUGUGUGUGUGUGUGUGUGUGUGUAGUAAACAUCAUCUUAAAUUUCAACAAAAGAGACCAUUCUGCUCCCAGAAAACUAAGCUCUGGGUACGUCAAGCCAUCAACACACAAGCAUGCUUUUCAAGUUGGCAGUUUACAUCCCUGAAGGCUGUUACAAAUGUCCUAUCAACAGUAAAACAGUGUGCUUGGUUACGAACUACACCCAGCCUGUGUUUGUUGGGUGCAUAGCGUACUUUCAUCGUGACAGUCCCGUUGAUUUUAUGAAUUCUGGUUCAGACACAGUUGGCAUAACCCAUGCAUAAGUACUGCUAUGGUUUUUAGUCAUUUUCUAUUUAAGGACCCAACAUUUAUUAUGUUCACCAAAUAGCACUUGGUGUCUAUUCAUCAGUUUCUAUCUAUACUCCUCCAAAAGCACUCCGCACAGGUCACUCACACUAACCUCCACCAUUACAGUCAACCAAAGACGGUAAUUCAGUACAACUCUUACACGGAAGUUGUACUUGACUCAGAGAGCAAAAGCCUGACUCCUGGUCUACACAUCUUCCAAGUUCUCAACUCCUAAAACCAAACGAACAAUGUUCCAUUGAAGCCACCGUAGCCAGGAGACUGGCCUUUCUGUUCACAGUCACAUUUGAGCGUAAGCAGUCUGUGGUGCAUUAAGCUAAUUCCCGAAUCUAAGGUAAAAUUCAAAACAAAUGUGAGGACAUGAUCAAUUCUAGUCACAGACGGAAACGUCGCCAUUCAGACAUCUUCAAGAGGUCACUGUCACAGCAGGCUUGAGGCAGCCGUCAAUGUUGUGAGUAACUGAAGAGUGCAUUUAUGAUCAGGAACGUGGGCCCUAUGUCACAGGAUUGUUCCUGCCUAUCCUUCAAAGAAAUCACAUGCUCUUGAAGUGAUAGGCUUUUAAGGCACAUUUCAACAAAAAACCAUUAUAUAACCAGCUUUAAAAUGGAAGCGCCACUUAGACAUGCUAAUUUUAUGUGGUUUUACCAGACAGGCUAGUGCCUUAUCUCGAAACUAAAGUCUUAUUAAAUACUCAAGUCUUUAUCUAUUCAAAGAGAAAGUCUUUGUAAAAAAACUAUUACGAAAGGGAGCUGGGGAAUACUAGCUUGGUAGAGUGCUUGCCCUCCCAUGCACAAAGCUCUGGGCUCGAUUCUCAGCACUGUUCAAGCCAAGCAUGGUGGUGCAUUCCUAUAAUCCUAGCGCUUAGGGGAAGUGGAGGCUGAAGCAUCAGAAACUGGAGAGCAUCCUUGGCUACUUGGCAAGUUCGAGGCCAGCCUGAGCUACCUCAGACCCCACCCCCUCUCAAAAAGAGCAAACUGUGCCCCUUACUCCCUGGUGCCUUUGUGUGUGGGGGGCACACAGGGCCAACCUCCACCCAGCCUUUUGGCAAAGGCCAAUCAGGGAAUAGUUCUUGAAAAUUAAGGAAAACUCCAGGCUCCUACCAUCUCAUUCAAGUCUCUUCACAGAAAUCAUAAGGAAGGAGCCAUAGUACGACUACUAGAAAUCUCCUGAAUGUAUGGACUACUGGGAGGCUCAAAUCUUACAUUUCAACCAUCCAUCUCCAGGUUCAGUUACCAACUUCAAAAGUGUUAAGACCUGGCCAGUGGUGGUGUUCACCUCUAAUCACUCGGGGAAGCAGAGGCAGGUGAGUCUCUGAGUUCAAGGACAGUCUGGUCUACAGAGCGAGUUCCAGGACAGCCAGGGCUACGUAGAGAUGUGCUGUCUCGAACAAUAUAGAAUUUGGGGAAAGGGAAGCAAGAAGAUGGG